CAGGACGAACGCUGGCGGCGUGCCUAACACAUGCAAGUCGAACGGAGUUGAGGAGCUUACUCCUUAACUUAGUGGCGGACGGGUGAGUAACGCGUGAGUAACCUGCCUCUGAGAGGGGAAUAACGUUCUGAAAAGAACGCUAAUACCGCAUGACACAUAUCUGCCGCAUGACAGAUAUGUCAAAGAUUUUUAUCGCUCAGAGAUGGACUCGCGUCCGAUUAGUUAGUUGGUGAGGUAACGGCUCACCAAGACCGCGAUCGGUAGCCGGACUGAGAGGUUGAACGGCCACAUUGGGACUGAGACACGGCCCAGACUCCUACGGGAGGCAGCAGUGGGGGAUAUUGCGCAAUGGGGGCAACCCUGACGCAGCAACGCCGCGUGAAGGAUGAAGGUUUUCGGAUUGUAAACUUCUUUUCUCAGGGACGAAUUCUGACGGUACCUGAGGAAUAAGCUCCGGCUAACUACGUGCCAGCCGCGGC
rnacentral:rRNA from 1 species